rnacentral:misc_RNA from 1 species
AACUACGCCUAUCGGGCAGAAAAAUGGAGAAGCCUCUUCAAUGUUCUACGUCUAAUAUUGCCUUUUCUUAUUAUUGAUAGCGAUGCUAACCAUCGGAUCAUAAAAGGACAUAUUGCAUAUUUGACGAUAGACUGUGAAAUAAUAUCGCCCCAGUCUACAGAGACAGUUUGGAACGCCGCUUGGGGACAAUAGGGACACGCUUCUUGACCGCAUAAAGGCUGGUAAGUAUCCGCGGGACAUUGCCUAUAAUUCCCUCCCUUUUUUAUUUGCAUUAAAGGAGUUGAGUCUUUAGGGAGCACACGUUUGAUUAGCCUCCUCACUACCGGUCCUGUUUGAAAGGUCGGCGACCGCAAGACUGGCUACGUUCUAGUUUUUUGUAGGCCGACAGCAAACGGUCUUAUUAAGCCUGCCUUCUUUACUACGCUUAAAAUUUAUUUUUCAACUCCACCCAACCGUAGUCAGUAGUCGUAAACAUCAAAUAUCCAAAAAAAAAACGUCGUUUGUUUUAUCCGUAAUUGGUCGUCAUUUUUCACGUAGGCGAACGAAGUGAAUAACCGAUAGAGUUUUCGUAUAAGGUAUUUAGUGCGCUACCACCAUCUUGUCAUUAUGUAACACUAUGAGGAAAAAAAACAAUUCUAAAAUAAUAGUUUUCGAUUUUUAUGUGCAAAUCCGAAGUAUUAAAAAAAAAACAGACUAUGAUCGGAUUGAUUAUUUUGAGGUCAACAUUAGAUAGGACUUUUGGUUCGAAGGCUAGAUCGUUAUUAAGAAAUCGAAUUUCGAUGAAAUAGUACAUUAUGAGUAUGGUAGAGGAAUAAAAACCCUGGUAAACAUGAACAUUUUCAAAAGCAGCUACUGACGUAGAAUUAUCGAUUGUACUCAACGACCUCGAUAAAACAGUCGGCGUAAGAUUUUGUCCAUUAUCUAGGACUUGUGUUAGAUGAGCUUUUACUUUGGUUGUUAUAAAUAGAAUUUGAUAAAACUCGUCAGAAAUCAAGGUUACAGCCCGAGUUAAGCACUGUUAACCCUUGGGUUCAUAAUAAAAUGUUCACUUAAAUUCUUUUAGACGCCCUAGUUUCUUCAACAUAAGCGUCUCAUGGUCGUAGGCUGAAAGUUGGUCGAUUAGAUUGGUCCCGUAUUCUAAGCUGUUAUUAAAUAAAUGUUGCCAUAGAUAGGAAUACGUAGCGAACAUGGCGCUUUUUCGAUGAACUGUUUAUCGGACACUGUAGGUACUUCAGCUGGCUGGAUCAAUCCAUGUCCGCCGCACGAUUUUUCACUGUUUUAUGAAUUCGUUUCGUAUCUUAAGGUGUUUUAAGAGUACGUACGUAUAUGUUAAUAGUUUUUAGACGAAGAGGACUAUUUAGAUUUUGUAUGAUCAAUCGACCUGUAGCACAUUGAGAAAAAUGCAAAAUGUCCUUUUGAACCCUUUUAAUAUGGACGAAAAGCCGCUCGAUUUAUCGUGCGACGGAAUAAACAGUCUAUCUCGUCAGAUGGAUGAGGCAUCGAAGGCGACGGAGAAAGUAACAGGAUACUUUGGAAUGACGAUAAGUAGACACGGUCCGGGAUACACUCCUACAGAUUUAAAAAGCACAAAAGAUUUUUCGACUUUUGUUAACAUAUGUCCGAAAACCACACCCGAUCAUAUGCCCAAUAUUAUUCCUGAAUCACUCCUGCAUUCUAGACCUAGAGAAACCCAAAUGGAAACUGAACAAACAGAGGAACUACCACAGCGUCUGAAGGAUUCUAACAAACGUUGUAUGUUUGAAGUAACUGGCUUCAAUCGUGAAUUAAUAGAAAAAUGGGAAAGAAAUAAUUCCAAUUGGCGUGAAUCUAGUGAACCUACCGCUAAUGCUACUUCCCCGUUCGUACCUCCAUCGCUUAUUCGACAGUCUCCUCAGCACUUGCCACGUACAGAUCGAGCGACAGUUGAGAGAGGUAGCGUUGAUAAUCUGAAUGAUGAACGCGCAACCGUCCGGAAACUAUCAAUUAAUGACGAUGAUGGGAAUAAAGGCCGACGAUCGUCGUCCAUGGGCGAUACUGUUCGCCUACCGCCGAAGAAAGCAUAUUUACAGGACUUGCAGGGACAGAAACACUAGAAUAUUGUUGUAUAUAUAUAUACAUAUAUACAGUUUGAAUUUUUUCGGGAUUACGCUCACAGACGUUUUUAAAAUGCAAUCUAUUUAUUAUAAGUCAAAAUCGAGAUCUAUCUUACAAAAUGAAAUUGUAUGUAUACAGGGUUUUGUAUAUUGUGUGUAUAAUAUCUAUAUUCCUAUGAUAACGAUCAUUGUCUUUAAUAUUACAUAAAGAGAAUUAUUAGUCUUUUUUCAUGCGUUGACUAGUCAUUCGAUAGAUGAUGCUGUCGCGUCCUGGAUCCAUAUUCCACAUCGUCAAUGAAAUACCAAUGGUGGCGAGAAUGAGUAUAAUCUGUAUACGAGGAAAGUGACAUUGAAAGUUUGUCAGGAAAACAAUGCAUUUGCUUAAUCAAUACGAGUGAUUAUAAUCUUUGUGUUAUAGUAGCAUUAGACUUGAAACCUAUUGUUCUAUGAAUAAGUUUGAAAUUAAACAAAUGAAAAAAAAAUUUACCAUAAGCCAUAACAUUAUAUUGAAAACAACAGGAUACGAUUCGGUAACGUUAGCAAAGUUCGGCUGUGUAAACAAAAUCAGUAAUUGUAUAUGUUAUUCUCAAAAAAAAGAAAGGCCUACAUCUUUUUUAGUGUCAGAUGAUUUUUCUUGAAGACUGCGGACUACUCUUAAAUGAGGUCCAUCGACGACAGAUGGCAGCACUACUUGUUCAAUGACUACGUUUCCAUUGUAAAAUUUUUUAAAUAGCCUAGCGGC